rnacentral:rRNA from 1 species
UGGGGAAUUUUGGACAAUGGGCGAAAGCCUGAUCCAGCAAUGCCGCGUGUGCGAAGAGGGCCUUCGGGUUGUAAAGCACUUUUGUCCGGAAAGAAAUCCGCCUGGCCAAUACCCGGGCGGGAUGACGGUACCGGAAGAAUAAGCACCGGCUAACUACGUGCCAGCAGCCGCGGUAAUACGUAGGGUGCGAGCGUUAAUCGGAAUUACUGGGCGUAAAGCGUGCGCAGGCGGCUUUGUAAGACAGAUGUGAAAUCCCCGGGCUCAACCUGGGAACUGCAUUUGUGACUGCAAGGCUAGAGUGCGUCAGAGGGUGGUGGAAUUCCUCGUGUAGCAGUGAAAUGCGUAGAGAUGCGGAGGAACACCGAUGGCGAAGGCAGCCUCCUGGGAUGACACUGACGCUCAUGCACGAAAGCGUGGGGAGCAAACA